GCUUUCAGCUUCUGGGAGGUCGACCAACACCCGCUCCUCCGACGGAAACCAUCGCGGUGCCAGUGCCACGCGUUCAGGUGCUCGCGGAUGCUUGUGUGCCCCACCUGCCGGCGUAGUACAUCCAGCCACCCGACCUCCGCGCGGGUCCGUCCCUCUCCGCCUCCCUCUUGGUCCCUGCCGUGUACCUCUCGGACGCCGCCGCCACAACAACUGACGUGGUCGGCCGCGCGUGCGUCGAGUGGGGCGCCUUCCACGUCGUCAACCAUGGGUCCCGCCGGGGCUGCUCGACGCCAUGCGGGCCGCUAGGCUGGCCUUCUCCUGCGCGCCCAUGGCGGAGAAGCUCCGGUUCCGCGAACCCGCUUGGUGGCCCGACUUCGUCCCCGGAUACAGGAAUCUGGCUACUGUUUGGUGCUAACUGCUGUGGUAACUGGUACACAUAAAGCUACAUAAUGUAUCGAGUUAUGAUGUUUAGAUAGCAUGGAUGCCUUUGAACUUUGGUUAAAAAGCUAAAUCCUUUGUGUUGCCCAUGCAUUCCUCUUGAGCUUACAAGGACCGGGUUUCGCAUUGAAGGUGAGCAUAUGAACAUCCUUAGUAGUAAUAUAAAUUUAGUAGAUGGUUUAAUAUUUCACUAUUUCACGGUUCUCUAUCCUAUAAAGGAGUUGUGUAUGCAUGGCCCUUGGUGCUAUAGAAUUACUUAUGUCGAUCGAGGGAUAUAGACGUUUUCUUAAGCAGUCAAAGUCAAGUUGGGUUCGAAGGGAAGCAGUUGGCGUUACUGAAUACGAGGACAUAUAUUAGAUGAUGACAGUCAAGUUGGGUACCAAGGAAAUUGGUUGGUGUUAUUAAAUAUCAACACAUAUAUUAUUGAUGACAGCAUCUACAGUUGAUUUGAAAGAAAAAUAUAUUAUGAGUCAAUUCUGCUAUGUAGUUAUACUACAGUUAGUGAGUACCAUAUGCCUGCGAAUAACAUACUAUUGUAUGGAAUAUUGUAUUAUGCAUUUGGCUGCAUGAAUAAACUUUUGACUGUUGCCUUCUUUA